UGAACUUUAUACUGUUGUCUCUGGCUCAAUCAUAUGCGUUCCCCAUCAGGCUGAACACGGAACAUUCAGUUUUUAGUCUUACAACUGCAGCAGCUACUGUAAUAUUUUUUUGACAACCAUUUUCUUAAUUUUCAUUACCUCUCUCAUCGCGUGUGGUUUUCACAGAUAAGGGAAAAAACUGGUAGAAGACUAACCUAGACUAGAAAGAAAGUGUACACUAAGACGAGAGCGUUUUCUUUGCUGUAAAGGAAAAAGAAAUGGAUGUUCGCUUUGGAUUACCGCAACUAAUUCUGAAGCUCUAGCAAUUACCUCCCGCCCUUUCCCCAGGAGCUGAAGAUUUCUCAAAACGCGUCACAAGAAAAAUGUGUUAAGAUUAGGUCCGUUGAAGCUGUCAGACACCCACACACAGGAAGAGAAGGGACUUUUUAGUAGCAAUCCAAGCAACUAGAUCCCAUUUGCACAACUCCAGGAGUGAAGUGGACAUUUUAAAGGGGUGGGGGGCUGGGGGUGAAGGGGCAGCUGUAUAAAAUCCCAAAGUUUACAUUCUUAAUCACCUGUUUCUAAAUGAUCUGUCUCAAAUAGUGAGGGGAACAUAUCCCGCCGUCCCCCCCGGUUGCUACGCCCCUGCACAACUCAAUAUCUUAAAUGAGCGAGUUUCAAAUCAAAUGAUAAAGUUCAAUGUUGAAUUAAAAUACAAAUUCCAUGUGAAAAAAAGUUUAAUAAAAAGCAUUAAAGCAAUAGAUGUACAUUAACAGCUGUGCAAAUGUAAAUGAUGUAAUAAAAUCUAAUGAAAACAGUGUGUUAAUUAUGAAAAAGAAGAGGUAAUGGAGAUUUUUUGAAUGAAUUGUUUUAAUUAAUAUUUUAAAUGUACAUUAUGUAGUUUUUGUCAAUAACUGGAUUUUAAUCAACUAAAACUGCAUGUCAUACGGAAAAAAUGAGUGUGUUUUACCUGCACAAAUUGUGAUCCUGAGCAUGAAGGUACACAUCCAAAUCUAAAAAAACAAUAUCAGCUGAGAGAAUAAAUGUCAUGCUUUUGUAAAUAUUAGUGCAAACAAAAUAGAAAACUAAAAAACUGAUCUUGCAAAAAUAUUUUCAGACAUCUGAUUAUAUGUUGUUAAUCUGGUGAUCCAUUUGGUUUGUAAUUUAUCGGUCAAUAAAAUUCAACACAACAGUAACACAAUACUUCAUACAAUGACAUUAGAAUUGCCAUCCUACAAACUCAUGUUAAAAAUAAAGCAUCUUACCUGUUGAA